UUGUUCCAAGCUCUCCAAGCACACAAUCUUGAAGUUGUGACUCCAAGAUACCGACAUACUAACCAGUGUAAGUCAACUAUCCUUCUUUCGCUUGUAAAAAUUGUCCACAAUUUUGAAUGCCUCAAUAGAAUACCCUCUUAAUCUUGACUUUGAAUGAAGGCUUAAUCCCCUCUUAAUCUUGAUAUUGCUUCAAUUGUUUGCAUGUCCUACAACUGCUUCGAUUUCUUAUGCUAUUACUGUAAUCACCUAGUUCACCAAACACAAUAAAGAUGGUCAGAGAAAUAUAUCACCCCGACGAUGUGGUCCAUUCUACUUUAUCAGAGUGAGGGUUCAAGUCUUAGCUGCCCCAGAAGUGUUUCAAAAUAUGUCAGAACAGCCCGUUUAAAAUUAAGCUACAUCAGACACUGCUGAGCUCAUCUACUUGAAUGUUUUGAAGCCUUGCAGCCCCAUAAAUUAUAUCUACAGUGUAUAUGAUGAGAAGAGCUAUGCAAUGUGGGUGGUGUGGACUUGAGCUGGCAAUUCGGGAUGUGGGGGCGGAGUUUUAUGACGAUCACUGUUCAUUUCUCAAAAGGUUAAGUUGGUUAUGUUCACAUUGCCCGGAUCAGGCCUCCAGGCUAAAGUCUUACUGGCAUUCACAGCCCCCUUAGUACAUGAUGCGGACAUUGCUUCUAUCCUGCCUGUUCCUGUUCAUCUAUUUGGCAGGAUUCUGCGAGUCUCAGAAGAUUGUGCAGUCUCAGCAGCAUGUGUCGGUGAAAUUGGAAGGAUCUGCAACUAUUCCUUGCACCCAAAGCGGCAGUGAUGCUUACAUGUACUGGUAUCGUCAGCUCCCGGGCCAGGGAUUGCAAAAUCUAUUGUACGCAGUGCAUGGAGAGGACCCGAAGAGGUCGGACGGAAUCACAGACAGAUUUUUCGCCAAGAAGACAACAGACGGCUCUUUCGACCUAAAUAUAGGGAACGUGCAACCAGGCGACACGGCUCAGUAUUUCUGUGCCUGCAGUGAUGCACAGAGGUAAAGUGGGGCUGAACCGUGUGACAAAAACACACCUAAGACACUACCAUUUGAUGAAAUGUAAUAAUAUGUAGGAUAGAUUCAGAGUCCAGAGGUCUGUGAAUCAAUCUGUCUCUGCAAUCAAAGAUGAAAUUGUCAAUCUCCUAUUUAUCUAUUAUACAUGUAUCGCCCAUCUCUCAUCUAUUAUAGAUUUAUCUUUCUAUUUAUCCUACUAUAAUCUGUUUAUCUUCCUGUCUAUCUAUCUCUCUUAUCUAUCUUGCUGACUAUCUGCCUCCAUACUUUCUUCUUACCUUCUUCUAUCCAUAUGUCUAACAUUGGACUUACAAUUUGCACUAAAUUAAAAUAGAUGUAUUUGUAUCAAUAUACAUAAUAUUGUUCCUUUGAGAUACAACUUAAAUUAAACAAGGAGGUUAUGUUAUUGGGAUAACUGUGUUAACAAGUCAUAGUAGAAAUGAUAAUGCACAGAAUUUAACAGAAUCUUCUCUUCUUAUGAUGUCAGUCUUAGCUAGCAUCGAGCGAGGUUUAGUUAGACUGCCUGCUUCCACCACACUUAAAAGGUAACGUUGUGUAGAAGAUUAAAAACUCACUAUAUAAAGGAA